rnacentral:snRNA from 1 species
GGAUGUGAGGGCGAUCUGGCUGACAUCUGUCACGCCACUGAUCACCAGGGUUGAUGUGGCUGAUCUAGCUGGCUGGGGGCAUGUCCCCUUUCUCCCUCACUGCUCCAGGCAUGUCUGUCCCAAAGCUGCGUGCUCCAUCAAAGAGGACGACCACCCCCGAUAGAGGAAGGCUGGUCUUCGGUCAAGGGUAUGCGAGCAGCGGCGCUCACCUGCUAGAACCUCCAAACAAGCUCUCCAGAAGAGGCCGGGGGACUAGUUCCCUCUCUUUCUGCCAUGUGAGGACACAAUAAGA